rnacentral:rRNA from 1 species
GAUGAACGCUGGCGGCGUGCCUAAUACAUGCAAGUCGAGCGGAGAAUUUAGCAAUAGAUUCUUAGCGGCGAACGGGUGAGUAACGCGUUGGUGACCUGCCUCGAAGUUUGGGAUAACAGUUCGAAAGGACUGCUAAUACCGGAUGUGAUCGCGGAGAUUAGAGGCUCUGUGAUUAAAGGAGAAAUUCGCUUCGAGAGGGGCCUGCGUCCCAUCAGCUAGUUGGUAAGGUAAAGGCUUACCAAGGCGAUGACGGGUAGGGGACCUGAGAGGGUGGCCCCCCACAAUAGG